CCUACGGGAGGCAGCAGUGAGGAAUAUUGGUCAAUGGGCGCUAGCCUGAACCAGCCAAGUAGCGUGAAGGAUGACUGCCCUAUGGGUUGUCAACUUCUUUUAUAUGGGAAUAAAAUGUUCCACGUGUGGGAUUUUGUAUGUACCAUAUGAAUAAGGCUCGGCUAACUCCGUGCCAGCAGCCGCGGUAAUACGGAGGAUCCGAGCGUUAUCCGGAUUUAUUGGGUUUAAAGGGAGCGUAGGUGGAUUGUUAAGUCAGUUGUGAAAGUUUGCGGCUCAACCGUAAAAUUGCAGUUGAAACUGGCAGUCUUGAGUACAGUAGAGGUGGGCGGAAGUCGUGGUGUAGCGGUGAAAUGCUUAGAUAUCACGAAGAACUCCGAUUGCGAAGGCAGCUCACUGGACUGCAACUGACACUGAGGCUCGAAAGUGUGGGUAUCAAACAGGAUUAGAUACCCGAGUAGUC
rnacentral:rRNA from 1 species